rnacentral:lncRNA from 1 species
AUGCAGCAGUGCAGCGCCCGACCCGCUCCGCCCUCACACUCACCAGUCCUCGGGCCCCGCCCGGCCAGCCCAGGCGCAGCUCCGAGGCGGCGGACAAGGCGCCCGAGCACGAUCGGAAGAGCCGCGCAGCCCUGCCCUCAGGCGCACGGCGGCGGGCGGCGCCGCUCUAGCCCUCACGCUCCCGUGCGCUCCGCCAGGCCAGCCCCACUCCCUCCCCGCGCGCCCUGUGCCCUGCCUGCCAGGCCCCCAACCCAGGCUUGGCGGCCACACUCACCGCCUCGCUCCGCGCCUGCGCCGCACGCCUCAGGGGCCCGCUGUGAGGGCGGGGAGGUGACUAGUGGUGAAACCACGCAGCGGUCCUGGGAAGGAGAUCAUUUUGCCCGCCAGCGCCGGCGCCUUCAUUCCACUAGCGUUGUGCCCUGGCAGCGAGGAACUUUUGAUUUGCGCUGGCAGCUGGACAUCAGCUCUCUGUUGACUAAGACAACUCUACUGAGAACCAACUUACAGAAAAGUCAAAAACCGGAAAGACAUAAUUAUUUAUGA